AACAGAGGAUGAACGGCUAAAAUCGCGCCGUCCUGGCGCAACGUUGUUCUAGC
rnacentral:sRNA from 1 species